rnacentral:rRNA from 1 species
AUUGAACGCUGGCGGCAUGCCUUACACAUGCAAGUCGAACGGCAGCACGGGAGUAAUCCUGGUGGCGAGUGGCGAACGGGUGAGUAAUACAUCGGGACGUGCCCAGUAGUGGGGGAUAGCCCGGCGAAAGCCGGAUUAAUACCGCAUACGACCUACGGGUGAAAGCGGGGGAUCGCAAGACCUCGCGCUAUCGGAGCGGCCGAUGUCAGAUUAGGUUGUUGGUGGGGAAAGGCCUACCAAGCCGACGAUCUGUAGCUGGUCUGAGAGGACGACCAGCCACACUGGGACUGAGACACGGCCCAGACUCCUACGGGAGGCAGCAGUGGGGAAUUUUGGACAAUGGGGGCAACCCUGAUCCAGCCAUGCCGCGUGCGGGAAGAAGGCCU